rnacentral:rRNA from 1 species
UACGUAGGGGGCUAGCGUUAUCCGGAAUUACUGGGCGUAAAGGGUGCGUAGGCGGUCUUUCAAGCCAGAAGUGAAAGGCUACGGCUCAACCGUAGUAAGCUUUUGGAACUGUAAGACUUGAGUGCAGGAGAGGAGAGUGGAAUUCCUAGUGUAGCGGUGAAAUGCGUAGAUAUUAGGAGGAAUACCAGUUGCGAAGGCGGCUCUCUGGACUGUAACUGACACUGAGGCACGAAAGCGUGGGGAGCAAACAGGAUUAGAUACCCUGGUAGUCCCU